AAGAAAUUAGUUAAAUUUAUAACAUUCGUUUGUCAUGCGUAAAUUAUCUUAAAGAUAUUUCUUA
rnacentral:tRNA from 2 species